GAUGAACGCUGGCGGCGUGCCUAAUACAUGCAAGUCGAGCGAACGGACGAGAAGCUUGCUUCUCUGAUGUUAGCGGCGGACGGGCGAGUAACACGUGGAUAACCUACCUAUAAGACUGGGAUAACUUCGGGAAACCGGAGCUAAUACCGGAUAAUAUUUUGAACCGCAUGGUUCAAAAGUGAAAGACGGUCUUGCUGUCACUUAUAGAUGGAUCCGCGCUGCAUUAGCUAGUUGGUAAGGUAACGGCUUACCAAGGCAACGAUGCAUAGCCGACCUGAGAGGGUGAUCGGCCACACUGGAACUGAGACACGGUCCAGACUCCUACGGGAGGCAGCAGCAGGGAAUCUUCCGCAAUGGGCGAAAGCCUGACGGAGCAACGCCGCGUGAGUGAUGAAGGUCUUCGGAUCGUAAAACUCUGUUAUUAGGGAAGAACAUAUGUGUAAGUAACUGUGCACAUCUUGACGGUACCUAAUCAGAAAGCCACGGCUAACUACGUG
rnacentral:rRNA from 1 species